UGCUUUGAAAAUUUAUUUAUUGACUGAGAAAAGACAGAUCCUAAUGUUCUUUCGAUAUUAUUAAUAUUCUCUUUCAAAAAACUCUAUUUUUUCGAUUCUAUUCAUUUUUUAUUUCUUUGUGCCUGCUUAUAUAUUUGGACAAAAAAGUACUCCGCAAUCACGGCAAGAAGAUGUCGGAUGAUAAGAGAAUAAGAUAGUUGAAGAUGGAUUGAAAAGGCUUAAUACUCAUACUACAUCUUUAAAUGGUAAUGGAUGCUGAGUUUGAGUUGAUUUUCUUCCUUCCCGUAUUUUUGUUUUUUUCAAUGGCCAUUACAUGCUUAUGUUUUUUUCGUUUAAUUUUCUUCGAAUUUUUAAGUAUCUCAAUUUAUUUAUUUUCUUGGAAUGACAAUACGAAGAAAUUGGUUGGCAUAUUCAAAUGUGUUAAAAAACUUUUUUCUACCAUAAAAAAAAAAAGAAUCAAAUUCAAGAAUCAAAAGAACUUUAUGCAAUAGUUUGCAUUUCAACUAUGCUAUUUCAGUUUGUAAUUAAUAUUUACCUUCUUUCCAGUCUUCCAUCUCUAGAAUUCUCUCUGUCUUACUCCUCUAUACUAAAUUACUAAUGGCUAUUCAUCCGAAUCAAAACUGUGAAUGCAGAUUUGGACUUUGAAAGCAAGGAAAAAGAAGAAAAGGAGAUAGAAUAUAAUAUCAGUAACCCUCACCGAUCAGAAGCAGUGGAACAACAUAAAUCUCCAAGCGAAGGUAGCCUAAAAGAACUGUAAGAAUAGCCUAGUACCAGGAGCAGCUAUAUUGUAUACAAAGGAUAAUACAAAAAGCUUCCUACGACAUAAGGGAAAAAAGUCUCAGACACGGUAGAAGGCAAUGAACGGAAAAUUUAGAGCCACAAAGAAAGUAAAAUAGAGUAGGGUACGUGGCAAUUCAGUUUAGGGCAAGCCACGCAGUUUAUGCAUACAAACAUAAAUGACAAAGUAAAAUGUCAUUUAUGCCCUUGGUCGACCAACAAGCCUUUUCUAUAUAAUAGAAAAUUGAAACAUGUCAAUAAAGAAUAAAACCGGAGAUUGUAGCUCCUGUCACCCAAAUUUUAUGCUUUCAACUCCCG
rnacentral:lncRNA from 1 species